rnacentral:rRNA from 1 species
CGGCGAGUGAAGAGGAAAGAGCUCAAAGUUGGAACCUGUUUGGCUUAGCUAAACCGGAUUGUAAACUGUAGAAGUGUUUUCCAGACACGCCUGGUAAAAAAGUCCUUUGGAACAGGGCAUCAUAGAGGGUGAGAAUCCCGUCAUUGGCCAGAGCUGUUGUCUUUUGUGAUACAUUUUCAAAGAGUCAGGUUGUUUGGGAAUGCAGCCUAAAUUGGGUGGUAAAUCUCACCUAAAGCUAAAUAUUUGCGAGAGACCGAUAGCGAACAAGUACCGUGAGGGAAAGAUGAAAAGAACUUUGAAAAGAGAGUUAAACAGUAUGUGAAAUUGUUAAAAGGGAACCGUUUGGAGCCAGACUGGCUUAAUCGUAAUCACUCUAGGCUUUGGCCUGGAUGCACUUGCGGUUUAUGCCGGCCAACGACAGUUUUGUUUGAGGGAAAAAAUUACAUUGAAUGUGGCCCCUCGGGGUGUUAUAGCUUUGUAAAAAAUACCUUGGACGGGACUGAGGAACGCAGCGAAUGCCUUUAGGCGAGAUUGCUGGGUGCUUGCGCUGAUAUAUGCUAGAAUUUCUGCUUCGGGUGGUGCUAGUGUGUAAAGGAGUAACCCGCCUAGUAUAUUUUUUAUUCGCUUAGG